rnacentral:rRNA from 3 species
AGACCCGAAACCCGGUGAUCUAGCCAUGGGCAGGUUGAAGGUUGGGUAACACUAACUGGAGGACCGAACCGACUAAUGUUGAAAAAUUAGCGGAUGACCUGUGGCUGGGGGUGAAAGGCCAAUCAAACCGGGAGAUAGCUGGUUCUCCCCGAAAGCUAUUUAGGUAGCGCCUCGUGAAUUCAUCUCCGGGGGUAGAGCACUGUUUCGGCUAGGGGGCCAUCCCGGCUUACCAACCCGAUGCAAACUGCGAAUACCGGAGAAUGUUAUCACGGGAGACACACGGCGGGUGCUAACGUCCGUCGUGAAGAGGGAAACAACCCAGACCGCCAGCUAAGGUCCCAAAGUCAUGGUUAAGUGGGAAACGAUGUGGGAAGGCCCAGACAGCCAGGAUGUUGGCUUAGAAGCAGCCAUCAUUUAAAGAAAGCGUAAUAGCUCACUGGUCGAGUCGGCCUGCGCGGAAGAUGUAACGGGGCUAAACCAUGCACCGAAGCUGCGGCAGCGACGCUUAUGCGUUGUUGGGUAGGGGAGCGUUCUGUAAGCCUGCGAAGGUGGCCUGUGAGGGUUGCUGGAGGUAUCAGAAGUGCGAAUGCUGACAUAAGUAACGAUAAAGCGGGUGAAAAGCCCGCUCGCCGGAAGACCAAGGGUUCCUGUCCAACGUUAAUCGGGGCAGGGUGAGUCGACCCCUAAGGCGAGGCCGAAAGGCGUAGUCGAUGGGAAACGGGUUAAUAUUCCCGUACUUGGUGUUACUGCGAAGGGGGGACGGAGAAGGCUAUGUUGGCCGGGCGACGGUUGUCCCGGUUUAAGCGUGUAGGUGUGUGUUCCAGGUAAAUCCGGUUCACUUUAACACUGAGGCGUGAUGACGAGGCACUACGGUGCUGAAGCAACAAAUGCCCUGCUUCCAGGAAAAGCCUCUAAGCAUCAGGUAACAUCAAAUCGUACCCCAAACCGACACAGGUGGUCAGGUAGAGAAUACCAAGGCGCUUGAGAGAACUCGGGUGAAGGAACUAGGCAAAAUGGUGCCGUAACUUCGGGAGAAGGCACGCUGACAUGUAGGUGAAGUGAUUUACUCAUGGAGCUGAAGUCAGUCGAAGAUACCAGCUGGCUGCAACUGUUUAUUAAAAACACAGCACUGUGCAAACACGAAAGUGGACGUAUACGGUGUGACGCCUGCCCGGUGCCGGAAGGUUAAUUGAUGGGGUCAGCGCAAGCGAAGCUCCUGAUCGAAGCCCCGGUAAACGGCGGCCGUAACUAUAACGGUCCUAAGGUAGCGAAAUUCCUUGUCGGGUAAGUUCCGACCUGCACGAAUGGCGUAAUGAUGGCCAGGCUGUCUCCACCCGAGACUCAGUGAAAUUGAACUCGCUGUGAAGAUGCAGUGUACCCGCGGCAAGACGGAAAGACCCCGUGAACCUUUACUAUAGCUUGACACUGAACAUUGAGCCUUGAUGUGUAG